UACGUAGGGGGCAAGCGUUAAUCGGAAUUACUGGGCGUACAGCGCGCGCAGGCGGUCCACUACGUGCCGUGUGACAAACGUCGGCUUAACCGACGGAGGCCAGGGUACACGGGUGAACUUGAGGCAGAGAGAGGGAUGUGGAAUACCCGGUGUAGCGGUGAAAUGCGCAGAUAUCAGGAGGAACACCGGUGGCGAAGGCGGGUCUCUGGGCAGUAACUGACGCUGAGGAGCGAAAGCGUGGGGAGCGAACAGG
rnacentral:rRNA from 1 species